GAGUAAUGCCUAGGAAAUUGCCCUGAUGUGGGGGAUAACCAUUGGAAACGAUGGCUAAUACCGCAUGAUGCCUACGGGCCAAAGAGGGGGACCUUCGGGCCUCUCGCGUCAGGAUAUGCCUAGGUGGGAUUAGCUAGUUGGUGAGGUAAGGGCUCACCAAGGCGACGAUCCCUAGCUGGUCUGAGAGGAUGAUCAGCCACACUGGAACUGAGACACGGUCCAGACUCCUACGGGAGGCAGCAGUGGGGAAUAUUGCACAAUGGGCGCAAGCCUGAUGCAGCCAUGCCGCGUGUGUGAAGAAGGCCUUCGGGUUGUAAAGCACUUUCAGUCGUGAGGAAGGUAGUGUAGUUAAUAGCUGCAUUAUUUGACGUUAGCGACAGAAGAAGCACCGGCUAACUCCGUGCCAGCAGCCGCGGUAAUACGGAGGGUGCGAGCGUUAAUCGGAAUUACUGGGCGUAAAGCGCAUGCAGGUGGUUUGUUAAGUCAGAUGUGAAAGCCCGGGGCUCAACCUCGGAAUUGCAUUUGAAACUGGCAGACUAGAGUACUGUAGAGGGGGGUAGAAUUUCAGGUGUAGCGGUGAAAUGCGUAGAGAUCUGAAGGAAUACCGGUGGCGAAGGCGGCCCCCUGGACAGAUACUGACACUCAGAUGCGAAAGCGUGGGGAGCAAACAGGAUU
rnacentral:rRNA from 1 species